CCUACGGGAGGCAGCAGUGAGGAAUAUUGGUCAAUGGACGCAAGUCUGAACCAGCCAAGUAGCGUGCAGGAUGACGGCCCUCCGGGUUGUAAACUGCUUUUAGUUGGGAAUAAAAGGGGGCUCGUGAGCCCCGUAUUGUAUGUACCAUCAGAAAAAGGACCGGCUAAUUCCGUGCCAGCAGCCGCGGUAAUACGGAAGGUCCGGGCGUUAUCCGGAUUUAUUGGGUUUAAAGGGAGCGUAGGCCGGCUUUUAAGUCAGCUGUGAAAGUCCGCGGCUCAACCGUGGAAUUGCAGUUGAAACUGGCGCUCUUGAGUGGAAGAGAAGUAUGCGGAAUGCGGGGUGUAGCGGUGAAAUGCAUAGAUAUCACGCAGAACCCCGAUUGCGAAGGCAGCAUGCCGGCUUCCGACUGACGCUGAAGCACGAAAGCGUGGGGAUCGAACAGGAUUAGAUACCCUAGUAGU
rnacentral:rRNA from 1 species